GACGAACGCUGGCGGCGUGCUUAACACAUGCAAGUCGUACGACAGCAUUUCCUUUUAGGUUGUGUUUGGAGUGGCGAACGGGUGAGUAACACGUGAGUGACCUGCCCUUCACUUUGGGAUAACGUGCGGAAACGUGCGCUAAUACCAAAUAUUCGCAUUUCUGCUGCAUGGUGGGGUGUGGAAAGGGGCCUUCGGGUUCGUGGUGGGGGAGU
rnacentral:rRNA from 1 species